UUCUCUUCCAUCUCCAAAUAUCUGUUGGUGUGCUCCAGACAUUUUCAUUCCGCAAACCAGCCAAUGAAAUGGAUGAAACAUCAUGACUGGGUUCCAGCUCUACACAAGGGACCUGCUUCAAAUAUACCACCAUGCCAAUCAGAUUACUUCUUCCAUGUGAGGGUGAAGAGGUGACCCUUCUGGAUAAGAUGUUAAAGGUUUGCUGCGUUUGGUGAACAGUGUGGCAGUAAAACCAGGGAAAAAUGAAA